CUUUGCUGUUCUGCAGCCUCUGCUGGUGAUACCCAAGCAAACAGGGUCUGGAGUGGACCUCCAGCAAACUCCAGCACACCUGCAGCAGAGGGGCCUGACUGUUAGAAGGAAAACGAACAAACAGAAAGGAAUAGCAUCAACAUCAACAAAAAGGACAUCCACACAAAAACCCCAUCUGAAGGUCACCAGCAUCAAAGACAAAGGAAUCUUCCCUUACCUUUCCAUCUUGGAGCUGGCCAUAAAGAAAUUAUCUGACCCACCUUGUCUGAUUGUGGGCCAUAAGACCCCCAUUUCAGAAGGGGUCCUGCCCCAUACCCUAGAGGAAGGAACAAUGCACAGAGACCAAGAAGAAUCGGAACAGACAGGACUUGCUGGGUUUCCCCACUCAGUCCAUUAGUGUAAGACCGUGCUCUUUCUGUCCAAUCACAUUUCCACACAGUGGUCAAUCAUGCCUAUCCAAUAAAGUCUCCAUAAAAGGCCCAAGAAGGCAGGAUUUGGAAGCCACGAUUGCGCCACUGCACUCCAGCCUGGAUGAUAGAGGGAGGUUCCAUCUCAAAAAAAAAAA
rnacentral:lncRNA from 1 species